CCUACGGGUGGCAGCAGUGGGGAAUAUUGCACAAUGGGGGAAACCCUGAUGCAGCGACGCCGCGUGAGUGAAGAAGUAUCUCGGUAUGUAAAGCUCUAUCAGCAGGGAAGAAAAUGACGGUACCUGAUUAAGAAGCCCCGGCUAACUACGUGCCAGCAGCCGCGGUCAUACGUAGGGGGCCAGCGUUAUCCGGAUUUACUGGGUGUAAAGGGAGCGUAGACGGCAACACAGGUCUGGAGUGAAAAGCCGGGGCUUAACCCCGGAACUGCUUUGGAAACUGUGCAGCUAGAGUGCAGGAGAGGUAAGUGGAAUGCGUGGUGUAGCGGUGAAAUGCGUAGAUAUUAGGAGGAACACCAUUGGCGAAGGCGGCUUACUGGACUGUAACUGACGUUGAGGCUCGAAAGCGUGGGGAGCGAACAGGAUUAGAUACCCGGGUAGUC
rnacentral:rRNA from 1 species